UAUGACUCCCAUAGAUCCAAUGCACAACUUAUUUCUUGGUACCGCAAAGCAUAUGUUUAAGAUUUGGAAAACAAAAGGACUCUUGGAUGAUGAAAAAUGCAAAAUGAAUGAUAAUCUUGCUUUUUAGUUGCCCACCAGAUGUUGGAAAGCUAACUAAAGAUAAAGAUAUCUUCUUCAAUGGGAUCUUUCAAUGCUGAUCAGCUUAAGAACUGGACAAUUUUGUUUUUCAGUUUAUGCUUUGAAAGGAAUUUUACCUGACGAACACUUAGAAUGCUGGAGAAAAUUUGUACUAGCAUGUAGGAGAUUGUUCUCGGACAUUUAUCUGUUGGAAAUGCUAAGGUUGCUGAUCGACUUUUGUUGGAUUUUUGUAGAAUAUUUGAAAGCCCUUAUGGCGACCAAUUUGUUACAUUAAACAUGCAUCUUCAUGGUCAUCUUCUUGAUUGUAUUUCAGAUUAUGGACCAGUAUAUUCAUUUUGGUUGUUAAGUUUUGAAAGGCAAAAUGGAAUUUUAGGAUCUUAUAAAACCAAUAAAAAAAAUGUCGAAGUGCAGAUAAUGAAGAGAUGUCUUGCUGAAUCCAGAGCAAGAAAUGAAGACGAGGUCAUAAGUCCAAAUUUUGCACAGCUGUUUGAAGAACUAUCUGGCACAGUAAGGGGAACCUUAGCUGAAAUAAAUUGUGCAGCUAGCUAGUCUAAUAGAAAGGUCAUCACUUAGUUGUAAUAUAGCAGAUGUUCCUUGGGAUUUAUCUGAAGGUAUUUUUGUACAAAAACCUAAAUCUGAGUCAUUGUGUGACGAGGAUGCAAGAAUUUUAUCUGAUUUUUAUAGUUCUUUGUAUACUUCUGAAUUUGAAAUUUGUAGAUCAUAACAAAAGGCUAAAGAAGCCU
rnacentral:lncRNA from 1 species